UCUCUAUUUCCUCUUAAAAUUAGAGUGGUGACUACUUACUUUUCAUAUCAAUAAGAAUUCUGCCUCGCAAUUACAAAAACCCUUGCAACAUUUCCCAAUCAAACUUGAAGUCUUCCAGCAAUGCUUGCAACCAAGCUUAGCUGAACAUUGAAGCUUUGGCUGGCACUUAAGCUUCUACGUGCUUCAUGCUCCGGCAAACCCUCAAUGGCGGCUCUACUUAUUUGGAUUUUUCUGGAAUGACAUUAUGAGUUUAAGGUGUAAUGUGUUGCAUGUCAUCAUGUAAAUCCACAAUAUAAAUAAUGGUUGAGUUCUCAAAUCGAAGAUUUACUUACACACACGAUCAUAAAUGGCCUUCUGAAGAAAUUGAUGUUCACCAUAUUAUAGUUCGGAAGAGCAAUACAAAGGGUUUCCUUGCACGCAUCUCAGCUUUUGUUCUUUUAGUAAAUGGCCUUCUUCUCUUUCUAGUCAAGGACAUAUCAGUCGGCAUUCUUUCCUGGAGCUUUUUUCUAACUGCAAUCCUCAUCAAAUUAAUGCACUGAAUAUGUCCUUUCAGUUUGAGGAAUCAUAUUUUCAUCCUUAUUUUUUACUGAAUGAACAGAGUCUGUUGUGGUUAUCCCAGCUUUUGGGGUCCAACUUGAAACACAUUAUGUAAGGUAUCAUUAUUUUCUUCCACCCUUUCCCACCAUACAGUUGUCCAAAGAAUGCACAAGCAUAUGCAUUAUACCUCUAUAUACACUGAUUUGUUCCCAUCGGCAAGAUUUUGAAACCUGUGCUUCUAGAAUAUGUGACUCCAAUUACUUGUUACUGGAGCCUGUCUCUUAUUUUGGGUGGGGAAGCAGAUUUAAUGCUGGUUUUAAAGGUAUGCAACUUUAGCUUAAAAAUUGGGAUAGAUUAGUUAAUUUACAAGCUUGAAAAAUGAAACCCACAUUAUAAAAUGGCUGCAAAUUUUGAAAACUAUAGGUUUUAAGAAACAAUGUAGGAAUUCAUUGAUGAUCAAGUGUUUCAUUUACUUCUCUUCUUAACUACGAGAUAAAUUCCAAAUGUAGGAAUUGCAUCCACCUAUGAAGAUGUUGGUUCCUAUCUGGAAGGGCUUGUGUAUUGCUUGUGGCAGUGAAGAAAGUUCACACUUCUAUAAAAGAUGGCUAACAGUAUUGAAGAUUCAAGAAGGAAGUGAUGACGUUUAUCUCAUUUACUGAGCAAUUCCUAAUCAUUUAUUGAUAUAUUUCACCGUAGUAUAGGCAAUUUUUUCACUGGACAUCUGUUAGCUGCAGCUCCAAGAGCAGUAGAUUAGGAAUUGGCUUGCUUCUUCAACUGCAAUUAAGUGCUUAUUGAGUUUUAGUCGAGGCAGCAAAGAGUGAGGUUUUGAAAUUGAAAGUUUGGCAGACAUUUAGAUUUCAAAAUUUUGGGGUCCAGAACAUGUACAAACAUCAUCAGUUGGUGUAAACUUGAUUCGCACUCUUCUACAGUGGUAAAUUGGCAUGUUUAAGAACUACAAAGUGGAUAGAGACAAGGAAGAUAAAGAUUGACAGUGAAAGUAGAAAGCAUUACCAAAUUAGUACUUAUUACGACAUGAGUGUGUGCCUAUGCUUUAUGCUACCAGGAAGUUACUGAUUUUGGCUGCUACUUGAUCAAAUCGUACGUAGAACCAAAGCAAAAUCAUUGUGUUUAACCUUAGUGUCCCAACAUUCCAUUAUUGGAAAGACAUUUUGAGCUGGUCAUGAAGAAUGAAGCAAGCUUAUGAUGGAAUUUAUCUGAUCUAGAGCAAUGAUGCAGCAACCUAUUCUCUAUUUCGAACUAGGAAUGAAUCAGAAUAGAGCUCCACAAAUCCAUGAAAAUGGCGGGUCGUCCUUCUUGCAGAAUGGUUUGUUCAGGAAGCAUAAUUGUGCCCUUGGUGUUGCAUUAAUGGACAAAGAUGAUGAAUUUGUCCUAACAAGGUUCGCAUUCGAUAGACCCACCGAUCAGGCAGCACCAGUCCUCAUAACAAAGAAACCAUGCUUUAGUGACCCCCCACUCCACCAAGUGUGGCUGAGAGAUGCAUAAACUUUGGUGGGGAAAUUUGUGGACAUCUUCCAUCAAUCUUGCAAAUGCAAGAGUUGGUUCCAUUUGUGAGAAUGAGUGUGCUCUGUGAUUGAAUGUGACAUGAACUACUAGUACUUAGAAUGAAAUAUCGCAGUCUUGAUCAA